AACGGAUGUGGGUGAAUUUUGGAUAUGCGGUUCACCCAGAUCCCCCAGUUCCGAGGAUAUACUGGUUAUGGGGUUAUUGCAUGUUUUGGGGUUCCUGUGAUAUGUUUUAUAAAACUAUAUUUCUCUGCCUUUGAUAAUUAUAUUUGCCAUUGUGUUCAGUAAUCAUCACCGGCAGAGGGGAGGAUUUUGUGUGGGAGUGUCUCUAUUUUCCCAGUGUCCC